GAACCCUGAUCCAGCCAUGCCGCGUGUGUGAAGAAGGCCCUCGGGUUGUAAAGCACUUUCAGCGAGGAAGAACGCCUAGCGGUUAAUACCCGCUAGGAAAGACAUCACUCGCAGAAGAAGCACCGGCUAACUCCGUGCCAGCAGCCGCGGUAAUACGGAGGGUGCAAGCGUUAAUCGGAAUUACUGGGCGUAAAGCGCGCGUAGGUGGCUUGAUAAGCCGGUUGUGAAAGCCCCGGGCUCAACCUGGGAACGGCAUCCGGAACUGUCAAGCUAGAGUGCAGGAGAGGAAGGUAGAAUUCCCGGUGUAGCGGUGAAAUGCGUAGAGAUCGGGAGGAAUACCAGUGGCGAAGGCGGCCUUCUGGACUGACACUGACACUGAGGUGCGAAAGCGUGGGUAGCAAACAGGAUUAGAUACCCUGGUAGUCCACGCCGUAAACGAUGUCGACCAGCCGUUGGGUGCCUAGCGCACUUUGUGGCGAAGUUAACGCGAUAAGUCGACCGCCUGGGGAGUACGGCCGCAAGGUUAAAACUCAAAUG
rnacentral:rRNA from 1 species